rnacentral:rRNA from 1 species
ACUCCUACGGGAGGCAGCAGUGAGGAAUAUUGGUCAAUGGUCGCGAGACUGAACCAGCCAAGUAGCGUGCAGGAUGACGGCCCUCCGGGUUGUAAACUGCUUUUAGUUGGGAAUAAAAGGCGGUACGUGUACCGCGUAUUGUAUGUACCAUCAGAAAAAGGACCGGCUAAUUCCGUGCCAGCAGCCGCGGUAAU